CCGUUGUACACACCGCCCGUCACACCACGAAAGUUGGUUGGACCCGAAGUCGCUGACUCAACCGCAAGGGAGAGGUGCCUACGGUCUGGUCGAUGAUUGGGGUG
rnacentral:rRNA from 1 species